AAGUGCUAUCUUGUGCGGCAUGCACACAUUAUUCCUGAAGCUUCUGACAAGGAAACAACAACUAUUAAAGUGCAAGUUUAAAACUGACAAAAGGGCUUGGCUAGUGCUCUUCAGACAGAAGUUAUUCCUUCUUCUACUAGAGCUAAACUAAACAGUAUACAGAUCACAGUAUCACAAGAACUUCCACAAGACAUGGAAAAUGGUUUUUAAGAAAAUCCAACUGAUAUGACCUUUGAAAUCACCAAGCUAUGAAUUUUAAAUCUACAUUAUUCUGUAUUUUCAAGCACAA